GACGAACGCUGGCGGCGUGCCUAAUACAUGCAAGUAGGACGCACAGUUUAUACCGUAGCUUGCUACACCAUAGACUGUGAGUUGCGAACGGGUGAGUAACGCGUAGGUAACCUGCCUAUUAGAGGGGGAUAACUAUUGGAAACGAUAGCUAAUACCGCAUAACAGUAUGUAACACAUGUUAGAUGCUUGAAAGAUGCAAUUGCAUCGCUAGUAGAUGGACCUGCGUUGUAUUAGCUAGUAGGUAGGGUAAUGGCCUACCUAGGCGACGAUACAUAGCCGACCUGAGAGGGUGAUCGGCCACACUGGGACUGAGACACGGCCCAGACUCCUACGGGAGGCAGCAGUAGGGAAUCUUCGGCAAUGGGGGGAACCCUGACCGAGCAACGCC
rnacentral:rRNA from 1 species